rnacentral:rRNA from 1 species
ACCUGCGGAAGGANCAUUAUCGUACUACAGAGGUGCAAGGGUUGUCGCUGACCUUUCCAAAAGGUCGUGCACGCCCGAGCGCUCUCAAUCCAUUUCACCCCUUGUGCAUCACCGCGCGGGGUCGCUCCCUCUUGGCUUGCUUCGAGAGGGGGAGGCUCGCGUUUUUCACACAUAAACACCCUUCCAGUUUAGAAUGUCAUUCAUUUGCGAUCACACGCAAUCAAUACAACUUUCAACAACGGAUCUCUUGGCUCUCGCAUCGAUGAAGAACGCAGCGAAAUGCGAUACGUAAUGUGAAUUGCAGAAUUCAGUGAAUCAUCGAAUCUUUGAACGCAUCUUGCGCCCCUUGGUAUUCCGAGGGGCACACCCGUUUGAGUGUCGUGAAAUUCUCAAACCUUCUUGGUUUCUCGAUCAAGAUGGCUUUGGACUUUGGAGGCAUUUUGCUGGCUUUGCGAAAAGCCAGCUCCUCUUAAAUACAUUAGUGGGGUCCCCUUUGCCGAUCCCCAGGCGUGAUAAGAUGUUUCUACGUCUUGGGGAUUUGCUCUGUUCCUUGGGAACCCGCUUAUAACCGUCUCAUGGGAGACAUCGUUCGAGCAUGCUCGACCCACGAACCUUGACCUCAAAUCGGGUGAGACUACCCGCUGAACUUAAGCAUAUCAAUAAGCGGAGGAAAAGAAACUAACAAGGAUUCCCCUAGUAACUGCGAGUGAAGCGGGAAAAGCUCA